rnacentral:rRNA from 1 species
UACGGAGGGUGCAAGCGUUAUCCGGAUUCACUGGGUUUAAAGGGUGCGUAGGUGGGUCUGAAAGUCAGUGGUGAAAUCUCCGGGCUCAACCCGGAAACUGCCAUUGAUACUACAGGUCUUGAAUUUUCUGGAGGCUAGCGGAAUAUGUCAUGUAGCGGUGAAAUGCUUAGAUAUGACAUAGAACACCAAUUGCGAAGGCAGCUGGCUACAGGAAUAUUGACACUGAGGCACGAAAGCGUGGGGAUCAAACAGG